GGGCGUGGCUAGAAAUUUUGAAAAAGAGUGCAUUUCAAGUUUCCAUAUAAAGAAGAAAAAAAAGAUGAAUUGGUAGAGAAAAAAAAAGAAAAGAAGAAUCGAAAGCUGACUACAGAAAAAGUGAAAUUCAUUUGAUCAAUCAUCCCCGAGGAGUAGCGUCCAGUACUGUAGAACAGCAUAGAAAAUGGCUUUCACACAAAGAAUUAUACAGAUCUCAAUUUUGUUAGCAGCGUUGGUGUGUAUUGUUUUCUCUCAAGACCCGGCAUUAUUUAGCAACAUGCAGGCCUC
rnacentral:sRNA from 1 species